rnacentral:lncRNA from 1 species
UUUGAUUUUGUACUUUUAUGUUCAAUUUUAUUCUAUUCUCUUUUGUUUUGUUCUACCUUUCAUGUUCUAUUUUGUUUUAGUUCUAUUCAAUUUUGUUUUGAUCCAAUUUGUCCUAUAUUGUGAUGGGAUUUAUAUUGCUAUGAAUUAGAAGGAUGUUAGAUCUUAGUGAUAAUCUAAUCUUGUUUCAGCAAAGGUGAAAUUGUUUUCAUUCUUCUUUUACAAAACAAUAUUAACACAAUUAAACAAAAUAUAUAUAUAUAUAUAUAUAUACACAUUUAUACAAAGAUAAAAGAUCAAAAAUAGUAAAAUAUAUGAAAUAUUAAUAAUUAAUUAAUUAUAUAAGAUUAAACAUAUUUUAAUAGUUAAGAUAUUUAUUAGGAUUUAUAAAUAUAUGUAAAAAUAGAUAAGAAGAUACAUUAUAUACAGAAACAAUAAGACCAUUGGAAAAGUUAGAUAGAAUCUAUUUGACUAAAGUUCAAAUUCUAUUCUAGAUCUUUCUUGCUAAGCUUCUUUUAAAACUUAAAAAUAUUUUUAAAUUAUUUGGUUUUUACAAAAAAAUAUUAGUUUGUGAACUAUAUAAAUUAAAAGCUAUGCAACAAUUAUUCAAGGAGAGGUGUCUAAUAUCUAAUAUACACAAUAUUUACUAUAAAUGAAUUUGAUUAAAUGUGAAUAGAUAGUAUAGAAAGUUACAAGGACAAAAAAUCAAAACAAAACUAAAAAAUAAACUUGUUUUUAUCAAUAAACAAGAUAAUUUAUAAAUGACUAAAAAUAUUUGUAAAAAAGAAAAAAGAAAAAAAAAUAACAUUCUAGCAUCCCACAUAAAAAUUUAAUUAUUUUCAUAUUGAGUGCAAGCCAAGUAGAGAGAUAAAAUGUACAAAUACUAAUCCUUCUAAAUUUAUUUUAUUUUUAUCCUAUGUGCACCCAACUUGGAUAUGAGGACCUAAAAUGGGUCGUCUAUACUAUUUUCUUUUCAUUUGAUGGGUCUUCACCAUUUCCCAUUAGUAUCAAAAUAAACAAACAAAUCAAGUCAAAGACCCAGGUCAGCCAAGAAUGAUCUCUUUCUUCAACGCAAAGGAUAGACACUUCUAAGUUACAAAAUCAAAACAAUGUAUAGAAAGGAGACGAAAAAGAAGAAGGAAACGGUCACAUGAGACAACCCUGCACUUGGCGUAGGAGCAUCAAAUCCUACGAAUGCUGCUUUCAUUCAUGAGGACCGAAUAAGGCAUGAGUGUGAUUUCUGUUUUUUUUUUGUUGUGUUUAGUUUUUUUGUUUAUGUUAUUUAUGUUUUCUUGUAGAAAAAUGUGGACUUGCAGUGCUUUUUUGCUAUUCAGACUGCUGUCGUUAUUCUGACCUGCACGGUGGUCAGAACUUUGCUGAUCAGCUCAUUGCAAUUGAUUGGGGCUUGGCUCAAGCAAACCAACAAUCUGCUUGACCCAGAAAAAGUAGAGCACUGGGAAGCAAGCAGGAGAUCGCCAGUGUUGAUCAUCACCGACAAGUUUGUUAUCAGUCAGUGUUUCGAAAUUAUUCAUGUUGAGAACUUGAGCAAUCAAUCAAAGUGUUCGUGGGUACAUCACGUUGCACAAUCACAUCGCUUCUUUGUCACCACUGGGAAAAUAAAUAAAUAAAUAAAUAAAUAAAGAGAGAAGAAGAGAAAAAAGGGAGAAUCAAUGUGUGCCACAGAAGUUACAUCAAUUAGGGUUUUGGUCCCGUUGUCUUCCCCGGUCAUGCUUUAGGACUGCGCACAAUGUGUUUACGG